GGCAGACGGGUGAGUAACAUGUGGGUAUCUACCCUUUGGCCUGGAAUAACACGAGGAAACUUGUGCUAAUACCGGAUAAGUCUUUACGGAGAAAGCUUUAUGCACCAUUGGAUGAGCCCGCACUUGAUUAGUUUGUUGGUAGGGUAAUGGCCUACCAAGACUAUGAUCAAUAGCUGAUUUGAGAGGAUGAUCAGCCACAUUGGGACUGAGACACGGCCCAAACUCCUACGGGAGGCAGCAGUGGGGAAUCUUGCACAAUGGAGGAAACUCUGAUGCAGCGAUGCCGCGUGAGUGAAGAAGGCCUUUGGGUUGUAAAGCUCUUUCGUCGGGGAAGAAAAUGACUGUACCCGAAUAAGAAGGUCUGGCUAACUCCGUGCCAGCAGCCGCGGUAAUACGGAGGGUCCGAGCGUUAUCCGGAAUCAUUGGGUUUAAAGGGUCCGCAGGCGGUCUAUUAAGUCAGAGGUGAAAUCCCAUAGCUCAACUAUGGAACUGCCUUUGAUACUGGUUGACUUGAGUCAUA
rnacentral:rRNA from 1 species